AUUCAAACUAAUUUAGAUACAAAAGGUUGCACUACUCGACAAGUGGUCAAAUGACUGAAGAACCAGAACAUUCAAUGGCCUGGCCCACUGUUCCACCUCUAGCAGGAGGCUUCUCCUCUCACCUGGCUGCCCAUACCAUGUUAAAAGGGUCCUGGAGAUGGUCUGGUCACAUAAGCUCUUCCUCUACGAUGUCCAGAGCCCCCCACUCACUCUGAAACACAACACUCAACACCAGGAACUACAGUCAAUAUUAGCUAUUUGUAAUACUCAAAAUAUUACAACCAGGAGCAGGAUACUCUCAACUAGACCAAGGAAGAAUAAGCCCUAGUUAACCACUAGGUGGGGGGUGGAUUAACCAAUACUAGCCACACUUAUCCACAUCUACUUUGCUACCAAACACUGCGUGGAUCUCUGACACCAUAGGGUUUUCCCGCUCUAUCAGAGUGCUUCCAGUGCAAUCAUACAUGUUUAAUAAUCCUGAUACCUGCGGACUCCAUCAUGAACAACAUGCAUAGAUGUCAAGUCUGCUGUUCCAACUCAUUAGGCACACUGAUUAUGAUUGAGUUGCACCUUGUUUCAAACCAAUCAGUGCCUGAUCAGAAUGGGAUUAGAUGUGAAUCCUUAUAUAAAGCUUCAGCAGCAUUCCUCAUUUUACUGGAGUUGUAGUGGCAGGCUCACAGGCGUACUACAGUUGCUCGCCACCUCAACAAUGGCUUUAAUAAUGAGGGUACUUCAAUUGUCUCUACUCCUUGAUGUGGGCUGUCAAGUACAUGCUUACAGGAUCGGAUAUGCUGAGCCGGAGAUGCCUACGUAUGGGCUGCAGCAGCCUGCUAGCUACAAGCCACAGCAACCUCCUACAUCCCAGCAGCAGCAGCAGCAACAUCCUAGCGACAAGCCCCAGCAGCAGCAACAUCCUAGCUACAAGCCCAGCAGCAGCAGCAUCCCAGCUACAAGCCCCAGCAGCAGCAGCAGCAUCCCAUUUACAAGCCCCAGCAGCAGCAGCAGCAGCAGCAGCAGCAGCCUUCAGCUACAAGCCACAGCAGCAGCAGCAGCAGCCAGCAGCAGCAGCAGCAGCAGCAGCAGCAGCAGCAGCAGCAGCAGCAGCAUCCUAGCUACAAGCCCCAGCAGCAGCAGCAACAUCCUAGCUACAAGCCCCAGCAGCAGCAGCAGCAGCAUCCUAGCUACAAGCCCCAGCAGCAGCAGCAGCAGCAACAUCCUAGCUACAAGCCCCAGCAGCAGCAGCAGCAGCAACAUCCUAGCUACAAGCCCCAGCAGCAGCAGCAGCAGCAGCAGGCAACAUCCUAGCUACAAGCCCCAGCAGCAGCAGCCUUCUAGCUACAAGCCCCAGGAGCCAGCAGCAGCCACAGGAGCCUAGCUACGACCAGCAACAGCAGCAGCAGCAGCAUCCUAGCUACAAGCCCCAGCAGCAGCAGCAUCCAGCGACAAGCAGCAGCAGCAUCCUAGCUACAAGCCCCAGCAGCAGCAGCAGCAUCCUAGCCAAGCCCCAGCAGAAGCAGCAACAUCCCAGCUACAAGCCCCAGCAGCAGCAGCAAAUGCAGCAGCAUCAGCAGCCUGCCAAGAUAUCAGCGGUCAAAGAAC
ensembl:lncRNA